rnacentral:rRNA from 1 species
AUUGAACGCUGGCGGCAUGCCUUACACAUGCAAGUCGAACGGCAGCACGGGUGCUUGCACCUGGUGGCGAGUGGCGAACGGGUGAGUAAUACAUCGGAACAUGUCCUGUAGUGGGGGAUAGCCCGGCGAAAGCCGGAUUAAUACCGCAUACGAUCUACGGAUGAAAGCGGGGGACCUUCGGGCCUCGCGCUAUCGGGUUGGCCGAUGGCUGAUUAGCUAGUUGGUGGGGUAAAGGCCUACCAAGGCGACGAUCAGUAGCUGGUCUGAGAGGACGACCAGCCACACUGGGACUGAGACACGGCCCAGACUCCUACGGGAGGCAGCAGUGGGGAAUUUUGGACAAUGGGCGAAAGCCUGAUCCAGCAAUGCCGCGUGUGCGAAGCAGGCCUUCGGGUUGUAAAGCACUUUUGUCCGGAAAGAAAUCCUUGGCCCUAAUACGGUCGGGGGAUGACGGUACCGGAAGAAUAAGCACCGGCUAACUACGUG